UGGUAGGUUUCAUCUUUAGUUUGUUUUACCAACCUCCUUAGUUGGAUUUGUUGAACCUCUGGGUAGACAAUGAUUUUCAUAUCUAUAAUUCUGUAUUUACGUACAGCUCUUAAACAAGACGACAGAGUUUGAAGAAGCAGUGAGGAGAGUGUUGACAGAUGUGCGACUGGACAAUGACAUUGUGGUGUCUGUCUUUGAGACCAACAUCCGUGUGCUGGGGUAAGAAAAACCAUAAAGCCAGUUAUUGAGGGGAUGGUAAUGUUUACAUGUUUUAUUUAACCAGGUAAGUCAAUGGAGAAGAACAUUCGUAUUGUGCCGCUAGAGGUGAAAUUCUUGGACCGGCGCAAGACGGACGAAAGCGAAAGCAUUUGCCAAGAAUGUUUUCAUGACACAACA
rnacentral:ncRNA from 1 species